rnacentral:rRNA from 1 species
UACGUAGGGAGCGAGCGUUAUCCGGAUUUACUGGGUGUAAAGGGUGCGCAGGCGGCCUGGUAAGUCAGAAGUGAAAUUUCGGGGCUCAACCCCGGAGCUGCUUCUGAAACUGUGGAUCUGGAGUGCCGGAGGGGCAAGCGGAAUUCCUGGUGUAGCGGUGAAAUGCGUAGAUAUCAGGAGGAACACCGGCGGCGAAGGCGGCUUGCUGGACGGCAACUGACGUUGAGGCUCGAAAGCGUGGGGAGCAAACAGGAUUAGAUACCCCUGUAGU